CGCCCUUAGAGUUUGAUCCUGGCUCAGGAUGAACGCUAGCGGCAGGCUUAACACAUGCAAGUCGAGGGGUAACAGGUUUUAGUUUACUAAGAUGCUGACGACCGGCGCACGGGUGAGUAACGCGUAUACAAUUUACCUCUUACAGGAGAAUAGCCCAGAGAAAUUUGGAUUAAUGCUCCAUGGUAUUAUAGGAUCACAUGGUUUUAUAAUUAAAGCUUCGGUGGUAAGAGAUGAGUAUGCGUCCUAUUAGCUAGAUGGUAAGGUAAUGGCUUACCAUGGCGACGAUAGGUAGGGGUCCUGAGAGGGAGAUCCCCCACACUGGUACUGAGACACGGACCAGACUCCUACGGGAGGCAGCAGUGAGGAAUAUUGGGCAAUGGAGGCAACUCUGACCCAGCCAUGCCGCGUGCAGGAAGACGGCCCUAUGGGUUGUAAACUGCUUUUAUACAGGAAGAAACCACUCUACGUGUAGAGUGCUGACGGUACUGUACGAAUAAGGACCGGCUAACUCCGUGCCAGCAGCCGCGGUAAUACGGAGGGUCCAAGCGUUAUCCGGAUUUAUUGGGUUUAAAGGGUCCGUAGGCGGAUGAUUAAGUCAGUGGUGAAAGCCCACAGCUCAACUGUGGAACUGCCAUUGAUACUGAUUGUCUUGAGUACGUUUGAUGUUGGCGGAAUAUAUCAUGUAGCGGUGAAAUGCAUAGAUAUGAUAUAGAACACCGAUUGCGAAGGCAGCUCACUAAACUAUUAUUGACGCUCAGGGACGAAAGCGUGGGGAGCGAACAGGAUUAGAUACCCUGGUAGUCCACGCCGUAAACGAUGAUUACUCGGUAUUGGCUUCGGUCAGUGCCCAAGCGAAAGUGAUAAGUAAUCCACCUGGGGAGUACGGUCGCAAGAUUGAAACUCAAAGGAAUUGACGGGGGCCCGCACAAGCGGUGGAGGAUGUGGUUUAAUUCGAUGAUACGCGAGGAACCUUACCUGGGCUUAAAUGUAGAACGACCGGGGUGGAAACACCCCCUUCUUCGGACGGACUGCAAGGUGCUGCAUGGUUGUCGUCAGCUCGUGCUGUGAAGUGUCGGGUUAAGUCCCAUAACGAGCGCAACCCCUAUUUCUAGUUGCCAGCGGUUCGGCCGGGGACUCUAGAGAAACUGCCAGCGUAAGCUGUGAGGAAGGGGGGGAUGACGUCAAAUCAUCACGGCCCUUACGUCCUGGGCCACACACGUGCUACAAUGGUCGGUACAGAGGGCCGCUAACCCGCGAGGGCAAGCUAAUCUUCAAACCCCAUCUCAGUUCGGAUCGGAGUCUGCAACUCGACUCCGUGAAGUUGGAAUCGCUAGUAAUCGCGUAUCAGCCAUGACGCGGUGAAUACGUUCCCGGGCCUUGUACACACCGCCCGUCAAGCCAUGGAAGUUGGGGGUGCCUGAAGCCGGUGACCGAAAGGAGCUGUCUAGGGCAAAAUCAAUGACUGGGGCUAAGUCGUAACAAGGAUAACC
rnacentral:rRNA from 1 species